UGGGGGAUAUUGCACAAUGGGCGAAAGCCUGAUGCAGCGACGCCGCGUGGGGGAUGAAGGCUUUCGGGUUGUAAACCUCUUUCGCUAUCGAACAAGGCCCGCUUAGGGUGGGUUGAGGGUAGGUGGAGAAGAAGCGCCGGCUAACUACGUGCCAGCAGCCGCGGUAAUACGUAGGGCGCGAGCGUUGUCCGGAAUUAUUGGGCGUAAAGGGCUUGUAGGCGGCUUGUUGCGCCUGCUGUGAAAACGCGGGGCUUAACUUCGUGAGUGCAGUGGGUACGGGCAGGCUUGAGUGUGGUAGGGGUGACUGGAAUUCCAGGUGUAGCGGUGGAAUGCGCAGAUAUCUGGAGGAACACCGAUGGCGAAGGCAGGUCACUGGGCCAUUACUGACGCUGAGGAGCGAAAGCAUGGGUAGCGAACAGG
rnacentral:rRNA from 1 species